rnacentral:lncRNA from 1 species
CUCAUCCGCCGUUUCUUCAACAUCUCCGCUUUUCGGCGCCCCUUCUUCAGCAACCGGUUCGUCACUCUCCUUCGGUGUGGCCUCAUCAGCCUCUGGCUCCUCACCGUCAAUCUUUGGAGCCGCCGGUUCGUCACCUUCCUUCAGUGUUGCCUCAUCAGCCUCUGGCUCCUCACCGUCAAUCUUUGGAGCCGCCGGUUCGUCACCGUCUAUCUUCGGUUCCUCUUCGUCAGCCGCUUCAACUCCGUCUCUCUUUGCAUCGUCCUCUUCAGGAGCAUCAGCUUCUUCACCUUCCCCGUUUGGAGUAUCCACCAUUAAUCCCCCAGCUACAACCAAUCCUUCGCCUGCCUC